CUACGGGAUGCUCCGGUGAGGAAUAUUGCACAAUGGAGGAAACUCUGAUGCAGCAACGCCGCGUGGAGGAUGACGCAUUUCGGUGUGUAAACUCCUUUUAUAUGUCAAGAAAAUGACGGUAGCAUAUGAAUAAGCUCCGGCUAACUCCGUGCCAGCAGCCGCGGUAAUACGGAGGGAGCAAGCGUUACUCGGAAUCACUGGGCGUAAAGGACGCGUAGGCGGGAUAGAAAGUCAGGUGUGAAAUCCUAUGGCUCAACCAUAGAACUGCACUUGAAACUUCUAACCUAGAGUAUGGGAGGGGAAGAUGGAAUUAGUGGUGUAGGGGUAAAAUCCGUAGAUAUCACUAGGAAUACCAAAAGCGAAGGCGAUCUUCUGGAACAAUACUGACGCUAAGGCGUGAAAGCGUGGGGAGCAAACAGGAUUAGAUACCCUUGUAGUC
rnacentral:rRNA from 1 species